AGCCAGGACUCAAACUAGGCAUUCUGAUAUGGUGACCAGGGUCCCAAGUGGGAACAUACGCCAUUGUACUAAACUCCCAUCCCAUUUUGGGUUGCUGUUUUUAUGUUGUGUAGUAUAGGAAUUCUGUGUGCCAUAGUAAUUUUGAACCAGUGAUAUGUAUAUUGCAAUGAACAUGUUGGGAGCCAGGACUCUUACUAUAGAACAAUCAACAAACAAAUGAGGAAACAGAAAAAAAAGUAGAAGUUUGUGGAGUUGGACUGAUGUUGUAUAUGUUAAAAUAAUCUUUUAGGCGGAGCAUCUAGCUCUGCUGGGGAAAAAAGAAGCUAGAAAACAAUGAGACCACAAUAGCAGUGAUGCGAGCAUAUACCCUGGAUCUUGGUUUCUGCAUGUUGUUCACCCUGUUUAAAGUUCAGCUUCCAAAUGUUU